rnacentral:rRNA from 1 species
UCCCCCAGUAGCGGCGAGCGAACGGGGAGCAGCCCAGAGUCUGAAUCAGCUUGUGUGUUAGUGGAACGGUCUGGAAAGUCCGACGGUACAGGGUGAUAGUCCCGUACACCAAAAUGCACAGGUUGUGAACUCGAAGAGUAGGGCGGGACACGUGGUAUCCUGUCUGAAUAUGGGGGGACCAUCCUCCAAGGCUAAAUACUCCUGACUGACCGAUAGUGAACCAGUACCGUGAGGGAAAGGCGAAAAGAACCCCGGCGAGGGGAGUGAAAAAGAACCUGAAACCGUGUACGUACAAGCAGUGGGAGCCUCUUUAUGGGGUGACUGCGUACCUUUUGUAUAAUGGGUCAGCGACUUAUAUUCUGUAGCAAGGUUAACCGUAUAGGGGAGCCGAAGGGAAACCGAGUCUUAACUGGGCGUUAAGUUGCAGGGUAUAGACCCGAAACCCGGUGAUCUAGCCAUGGGCAGGUUGAAGGUUGGGUAACACUAACUGGAGGACCGAACCGACUAAUGUUGAAAAAUUAGCGGAUGACUUGUGGCUGGGGGUGAAAGGCCAAUCAAACCGGGAGAUAGCUGGUUCUCCCCGAAAGCUAUUUAGGUAGCGCCUCGUGAAUUCAUCUUCGGGGGUAGAGCACUGUUUCGGCUAGGGGGUCAUCCCGACUUACCAACCCGAUGCAAACUGCGAAUACCGAAGAAUGUUAUCACGGGAGACACACGGCGGGUGCUAACGUCCGUCGUGAAGAGGGAAACAACCCAGACCGCCAGCUAAGGUCCCAAAGUCAUGGUUAAGUGGGAAACGAUGUGGGAAGGCACAGACAGCCAGGAUGUUGGCUUAGAAGCAGCCAUCAUUUAAAGAAAGCGUAAUAGCUCACUGGUCGAGUCGGCCUGCGCGGAAGAUGUAACGGGGCUAAACCAUGCACCGAAGCUGCGGCAGCGACACUAUGUGUUGUUGGGUAGGGGAGCGUUCUGUAAGCCGUUGAAGGUGUAUCGUGAGGUAUGCUGGAGGUAUCAGAAGUGCGAAUGCUGACAUAAGUAACGAUAAUGCGGGUGAAAAACCCGCACGCCGGAAGACCAAGGGUUCCUGUCCAACGUUAAUCGGGGCAGGGUGAGUCGACCCCUAAGGCGAGGCCGAAAGGCGUAGUCGAUGGGAAACAGGUUAAUAUUCCUGUACUUGGUGUUACUGCGAAGGGGGGACGGAGAAGGCUAUGUUAGCCGGGCGACGGUUGUCCCGGUUUAAGCAUGUAGGCGGAGGUUCCAGGUAAAUCCGGUACCUUUUUAACGCUGAGGUGUGAUGACGAGGCACUANNNNNNNNNNNNNNNNNNNNNNNNNNNNNNNNNNNNNNNNNNNNNNNNNNAAAUCGUACCCCAAACCGACACAGGUGGUCAGGUAGAGAAUACCAAGGCGCUUGAGAGAACUCGGGUGAAGGAACUAGGCAAAAUGGUGCCGUAACUUCGGGAGAAGGCACGCUGAUAUGUAGGUGAAGCGGUUUACCCGUGGAGCUGAAAUCAGUCGAAGAUACCAGCUGGCUGCAACUGUUUAUUAAAAACACAGCACUGUGCAAACACGAAAGUGGACGUAUACGGUGUGACGCCUGCCCGGUGCCGGAAGGUUAAUUGAUGGGGUUAUCCGUAAGGAGAAGCUCUUGAUCGAAGCCCCGGUAAACGGCGGCCGUAACUAUAACGGUCCUAAGGUAGCGAAAUUCCUUGUCGGGUAAGUUCCGACCUGCACGAAUGGCGUAAUGAUGGCCAGGCUGUCUCCACCCGAGACUCAGUGAAAUUGAACUCGCUGUGAAGAUGCAGUGUACCCGCGGCAAGACGGAAAGACCCCGUGAACCUUUACUAUAGCUUGACACUGAACACUGGUCCUUGAUGUGUAGGAUAGGUGGGAGGCUUUGAAGUGUGGACGCCAGUCUGCAUGGAGCCAUCCUUGAAAUACCACCCUUUAAUGGCUGGUGUUCUAACGUGGACCCGUAAUCCGGGUUGCGGACAGUGUCUGGUGGGUAGUUUGACUGGGGCGGUCUCCUCCUAAAGAGUAACGGAGGAGCACGAAGGUUAGCUAAUCCUGGUCGGACAUCAGGAGGUUAGUGCAAAGGCAUAAGCUAGCUUGACUGCGAGAGUGACGGCUCGAGCAGGUGCGAAAGCAGGUCUUAGUGAUCCGGUGGUUCUGAAUGGAAGGGCCAUCGCUCAACGGAUAAAAGGUACUCCGGGGAUAACAGGCUGAUACCGCCCAAGAGUUCAUAUCGACGGCGGUGUUUGGCACCUCGAUGUCGGCUCAUCACAUCCUGGGGCUGAAGUAGGUCCCAAGGGUAUGGCUGUUCGCCAUUUAAAGUGGUACGCGAGCUGGGUUUAGAACGUCGUGAGACAGUUCGGUCCCUAUCUGCCGUGGGCGCUGGAGAAUUGAGGGGGGCUGCUCCUAGUACGAGAGGACCGGAGUGGACGCAUCACUGGUGUUCGGGUUGUCAUGCCAAUGGCAUUGCCCGGUAGCUAAAUGCGGAAGAGAUAAGUGCUGAAAGCAUCUAAGCACGAAACUUGCCCCGAGAUGAGUUCUCCCUGAGACU